GGAUUUGGAUGUUGGAAAGUGGCUAAGAAAGCAUGCCCCGGGAAUGAAGAUUGUUACGAUAAUAAAUACAACUGAAUCACUUGAUGAUGGUUUUGGGUCUGCUAGCGAAGCCACGCGUACAUUGGGAUUUGGAGAUCCUGUUGCUCUCUCUACAGAAACUGGUUUAGGGAUGAAUGAUUUAUAUCAAGUUCUCAGGCCAUGGUUUGAACAACAACAUAUGCUUCUUCAAACUGUACAAGGUACUGAUGAAACUAAUGAAGAGGAGUCAAAGCUACCACUGCAGUUAGCAUUUGUGGGCCGGCCUAAUGUUGGCAUCUCAACCUUGUUGAAUGCAAUUCUGCGGGAAGAGCGUGUUUUGGGGGGCCAGAGGUAGGCUUAACAAGAGAUUCGGUCAGAGUCGAGUUUAAAUUCGAAGGAAGAACGAUAUACAUGGUGGACACAGCAGGUUGGUUGCAGAGGACAAAGUCAGAGAAAGUUCAAGUAGUUAACAUAUAACUGUUGUUCGAGAGUAUUUGAGUGUGUGCUGCGUGUGUUCUUGGGCCUGAUCCAACACACGUCAUCAUUAACCGAAGGGUAGACUGUAGCUUCAUCUUUUUGAACCACAGUGUCAUAAAUGAUGCAGGCUAGAAAAUGUCAGAUGUUGCUGCAUUUGACUUCCCAGAGUUGACUUUUGACUUUUUAUUCGAUUGUAAAGUUUCAGUAUCAGUUGGAGAGCUGUAGAGAGCACUAAAACAAACAUGUACAUAUAAACAAACUAAUAUGAAAAUUGGUUUUCA